rnacentral:lncRNA from 1 species
CCUCUGCCUUCCCCUGAUUCCCAUCUGCAGAAUAAAAAUUUCACGCAGUUCUAAUUAUCCUGAAAUGCAGCCUCUUGUGUGGUGGGUAGAGGGAUGAAGGAAGUAAAGAUUAGCACAACCAUACCUGCUUUGAAAUAGGAGGGGAUGGAGUGGGAUAUAGUCAAAGGUAAAUGCCUUGAAUUUCUGUUUAGCAAAACCCGUAAUGGUAACGUUUACUUGUUAUACUUUGAUAUCAUGUUUAAUCAGCUCAACCCUUCAAAGCCGUUAGCACUACUGCUGGAGUACUUGCAGACCCGUUGGCCAGCUGCUGAAGAGAUUGGUAUGCUGCCUGUUCAGCUAAUGAGUCUGAAAGCGGAAGUGUUAACACUGUGCUGUUUUUCAUGGUGAGGAAGCAAAUGGCCAUCGUUGGGAGCUUAGAAUAUACCUGCCGUAAUCAAUGUCCCCUCUUUUGUCCCUGGUAAGGCAUUCUGGAUUUAAUUAACUUGUUUUCUUUCAUUUAGGAUUUUAUCUGGUGCCAUCAGUCAGGCUGCCACGUGUACCUUCUCUUGAUGUGGCGUGGCAUUUACUUUCUGUUUUGAUCCUGAUCCCGUCUGGAAGUCUGUUCUGUCUUCCUUUCCGUGUAGCUCAGUAUUUUGGAAUAAUCGAACCUUUCUCCGUCCCGCAUUGCCUUGGUGCUGAGGGGGCGGCCAAAGCAGCAGCCUGGCUAAAGUCGACCUGCAGACCUUGCAGAAUUUUGGUGGAAUAUUUUUACUUCUGCGGUUUGUAGGUUUUUUUUGUCGCCAAGUCAGCAAGUGUUGCUGUGUGGCCGAGCGGCCAACCUGCACGUUUGCGCGUGGCUCUGCUGAAUGCU